rnacentral:rRNA from 1 species
UACAGAGGGUGCAAGCGUUAAUCGGAAUUACUGGGCGUAAAGCGUGCGUAGACGGUUAUUUAAGUCAGGUGUGAAAGCCCCCGGCUCAACCGGGGGAGGCCGUCGGGGACCUCGCGGCUGGAGGCCGGUAGGGGCGAGCGGGAAUUCCCGGUGUAGUGGUGGAAUGCGUAGAGAUCGGGAGGAACACCGGUGGCGGAGGCGGCUCGCUGGGCCGGUCCUGACGCUCGGGCGCGAAAGCGUGGGGAGCGAUCCGG